rnacentral:rRNA from 1 species
UGGGGAAUAUUGCACAAUGGGCGCAAGCCUGAUGCAGCAACGCCGCGUGAGGGACGACGGCCUUCGGGUUGUAAACCUCUUUUGGCAGGGAAGAAGCGAAAGUGACGGUACCUGCAGAAAAAGCACCGGCUAACUACGUGCCAGCAGCCGCGGUGAUACGUAGGGUGCAAGCGUUGUCCGGAAUUAUUGGGCGUAAAGAGCUCGUAGGCGGUUUGUCGCGUCUGCUGUGAAAACCCGAGGCCCAACCUCGGGCCUGCAGUGGGUACUGGCAAACUAGAGUGCGGUAGGGGAGAUUGGAAUUCCUGGUGUAGCGGUGGAAUGCGCAGAUAUCAGGAGUAACACCGAUGGCGAAGGCAGAUCUCUGGGCCGUAACUGACGCUGAGGAGCGAAAGCAUGG